rnacentral:lncRNA from 1 species
UUUAAAUUUUAUCUUAAAUUUGAAAUUUGAAGUUUAAAAUUUAUAAUUUGAGAUUUGAAUUUAAAUUUGAAAUAUAAUAUCUAAAUUUAAAAUUUAAAAUUUUGAAAUUUUGAAAUUUUGAAAUUUAAAAGUUAAAUUUUAAUUUUAAAUAUUUAAAUAUUAAUUAAAAUUUAAAAUUAAAAUUUGAGUUUAAAUUAAAAAUUUGAAUCUAAAAUCAAAAUAACAAUUUAAAAUUUGAUUUCAAAAUCAAAAUCAUAUUUCAAAAGUAGGUUAAACACUCUAUUUACCCGAAAAUUACUUUUGGGCCAAAAUCACUUUUCAAAAACUAUUGUUCUCUUUAAUGGUUAUUAUGUUGUUAUAAAAGAAGAUAAAUUUAACUCUAAAUUUGUUUUUAUCUUUAAUGAUUAUUAUAUUAUUAUAAAAUGAGAUAAAUUUAAUUUUAGAUUUGUUAUUAUCAUUAGUGAUUAUUAUAUUAUUAUAAAAGGAGAUAAAUUUAACUCAAGAUCUGUUUUUAUUCCUAAUGGUUAUUAUAUUAUUAUAAAAGUAUUAUAUUUUUCUUUAUAAUAUACGUAAGUCUUUUAGAAAAACCCUAGCCGUCAUCCCUCCCUUCCUCUCUUUUAUUCUCUCAUUAAAUCUUUCUCCAUAAUGAGCUAACAUCCUGGUGAGGAUAUUGAUCAGAUCAACAAUGUCGUGUGGAUAUCUGUAGAGGGCGGACGUGUGUGCGGCUUCAAGAGAAUCAAAUUUCACGAUCAUCAUAUUGCAGUCUAAAUUUACCAACACAAAGGUGAAAAUCAGAUUUUUUUUUUCUUUUUUAAUCUUAAAUAUAUAAGGAAUUCUGUUUUGCGUGAUUUUUGAUAUCAUAUUUUAAGUUUUUAAAAUCAAAUUUGGUUUUUUUUUUUUUCGCUGUGUUUGAAUCGCACGCAAAUUCUAAAAAAACUUUCUGUCCUUAAGUUGCAGGAAGAUUUUUACCUUAUUGCGUUUUACAGUUUAUUUCCUCUUCUGUUCUAUUCAUGAGAGUUUGGUGUUGAACUUCAACUUUUGAAUUUGUGUAGUACGAAACAAAACAGCACCAAAACUUUAACAAGCUUUGUUUGCUUCAUUAUAUAUUAUUCUAUGCUUACUUGAAGGGAGAAACGUAGAAGCUACAUCCUUAAAUGUUAAUACGUAACGUGUAGAGAACAAGUGAAGAGACUAUUUGUUAGUGUUAACUGGUGUAGCAUGUAUCGCAUUCAAUAAGAUUGUUUUCACAUGUGAUAUGUGGAAGCACUUCUUGCUUCUUUGGAGUACAAAUUGAUCUCCUAAUUUGGAAGUUUUAUAUGAUGUCAAAUGCCUAUAUGACUACAAACAAUCCUUAUCAAGCACAAAAAGCAUGCAAAUAGAGAGAUUCAAUUUUUAGGGGUAAGUUUUCUCCCUAACAUUUAUUUAAUCUGUUUCAACUUGCUUCAAAAGUUGAUAAAUUUGAUAGUUUUGGAAUGUCUAAACAAUAAAUUAUUUAAAUAUUUUAUAAUACAUAUUUUAUAUUAUAUUUUAUUUUAUAGUAUUAAUUAUUAGAUAUUAUAUCAAUUAUAUAGUAUACUGUGCAGUAUAUAGAGCAUUAGUAUAUAACUAUAUAUUAGCUGCAGCAAAGAUUUCUACAUUUUCUCUCUUAAAAUUAUGAGUGUAUCUUAUUAAGUAUUUUCUAUACCAGAUGUAUAUAUGUACAUAUACCACAUGCUUAAAAUCUUUUAAUUGAGAUUUCAAAUCUAAUUUAUUAAAUGUAAUUUAAAUUAUUAGAUUUUGUAGAUUAUAUAUAUUUAAUCGAGUUUUGAUAUUAGAAGAUUAGUCAUCUAAGAAAAGUUACGGUAUUAUAUAGUGUUAAUAUACACCAGAUGUAUAUAAUAAUUUUUUUUCUACAAUCAACUUUAACGAGGAAAAAACACUCACCUAUUGGGCAAUUUGAAAUAAGUUCUCUAAUUCUAACUUUUUAGUUAAAAAUUUUAUUCAUGGAAUACCUACCAAAACUAUUAAGUUUGAGUGAAUUUUUAAAUUAAGUUAUUAAACUAAUUUAACUCUACAAAGAAUAAAAGUUAAGAAAAUAUUAAUCAAUGUGAUUAUAUAAGGGGGAAAAAGAAAAAAAAAAAACUAUCCAAACAAAAAAAAAGAAUAUCACUAGUUUACCCAAUCGCUCGGAAGUCAAAUCGAAGAAAAUAUAUAUUUUGGACGAAGAGUGCGGCGUAUGAAAAGAGCUUAUAAUUUGUAUAUUUUUAGGGGAAAGAGAAAAUGCUAUUUUUGCACCUUAGUGCUAGAAAAGAUAUAUAUUUUUGUAAAAACAUCAAAUAUCACACCUAUAGUUUCAGUUUCUCACUUUAGUACUCUAUAGUUUAAAGCGUAUUAUUUUUGUACCCUAAGAUUUUAUUUUUCUUUUUUUGUUAUCCUCUUUCGUUAAUUUUUUUCGUUAAAUCAGUAAUAAAGUUAAAACUAAAGAAUACUAAAGUGAAUAUUCGAUAAGCUAUAGGUGGAGUAUCUAAAGUUUUUUGUAUAUGAUUUAACGAAAAGUUAAUAGAGGGGCUGACAAAAAAAAAAAAAGAUGAAAUCACAGGGUAUUAAAUUGAUAUACUUUAAACUACAAGAUACUAAAGUGAGAAAGUGCAAAAUCAUAGGAGCGGUAUUUGAAGUUUACUAUAUAUUUUUUUGGGUGGGAAGUGUGGUGCAUAAAAAGAAGGGUUAUUUGCAUACACGUCCCUGCAAAUAUAGUGAAUUGCAGAUAUAUUUCUGCAAAACGAAAAUUCCAUAAGUUGUCCCUACAAAAGUUCUAAGUUAUGCAGAUAUAUCCCUGCCGUUAAGAUAUGUUAGAAAAUUUUCGUUAACUAUGGUUAAAAUAUUUAAUCAUGGUUAAUUAUAAUGUGAAUUGACGGAUUUACCUUUCUUCCUCUUUCUCAUUUUCCUCUUCCUUCUUCUUCGUCGCCGACGAGGGAGAUGCGGCGGCAGCGGCGUACCCUCUCCCUUUUCCUCUCUCUCUUCCUCUUCCCCCUUCUUCUUCCUCUCCCUCUUCCUCUUCCCUCUUCUUCGUCGUCGGUGAGGGAAAAGGUGUGGCGGCGGCGAACCCUCUCCCUCUUCCUCUUCGCCCUUCUUCUUCCUCUCCCUCUUCCUUUUCCCUUUCUUCGUCGCAGGCGAGAAAGGAGAUGCUGCAGAAGCGGCGGCGGCGGCAAACCCUCUCCCUCUUCCUCUUCCUCUUCAUCUUCCUUCUUCCUCUCCCUCUUCCUCUCCUUCUUCCUCUUCCCUCUUCUUCUUCCUCUCACUUUUCCUCUUCCUUCUUCUUCUUCUUCUCCUUCUUUCUCUUCUCUCUUCUUCGUUGCCGGCGAACCCGACCCCGCGGCGCCGCCACCGCCGUCCUCUCCGACAGCCCGAAGAGGAAGAGAAAGAGAAAGAGAAGAGGAAUACUUUUGGAGGGAUAUAUUUGUGAGGGCAAAAAGGUCAUUUCACGAAUCUACUGUUAAAAAUUAAACAGUUCACUAACGGAUAUUAACCAGAAGGACAUAUCUGCAUAACUUAGGACUUUUGCAGGGACAACUUAUGGAAUUUUCAUUUUGCAGGGAUAUUUCUGCAAUUCACUAUAUUUGCAGGGACUUGUAUGCAAAUAACCCUAAAAAGAAUAUCUAAUUUAUAUAUGUUUAGAAAAAAAAAUUGCUAUUUGUACACUCGUCAUAUAGAAGUAAAUCUGACAACUCUAUUAUAGUAGAAUUCACAAAUAUUUAAAUAGAUUUUUAUUUUAAAAAUAUUAAUAGGACUUGUAGGAAAUGAUAGUUAUUGGAUGAAUAAAGUGUAAGAUCUAUAUGUUGCUUGGAGAUAUAUAGAUAGGGCUAAUAAUUGUAUGUUUGGUCCUGAAACUAUAAGAAUGUUCACACUUUGGUCCUUAAAUUUAAUUUUUUAUAAUUUCUGAUUUGAAUAUUCAAAACUAUUGUAAUCAAAUCCCACCACCCGAUUUAAUUAGUUUGUUAAACCACACGGAGACAAAGUGCAACUUUUCAAACUACAGAAUAAUAAAGUAAAUAUAAACUAAACCAUAGAAGGCAAAGUAAAUUUUUUUGAAUCUCAAAAUGACAAAAUAAAAACAAGUGAAACCACAUAUACAAAAGGCUAAAUUACAGAAAAACCCCCUAUAAUAACCCGCUUUUUCACUUUCCCCCCCUGACAUUUAAAAACCUACACUUUGCCCCCCUGUAAAAUGAAAAAUGUUUACAAGGGGGUUACGGUGUGUAAAAUGACCAUUUUACCCCUCGCCAUUGUCGUCUUCUUCCCCAUCUUCUCUCCUUACUCUCCUCCGUCGGCCUCGUGGGGCGCCAAACUCACUCCGGCGAGUUUUUCUUCGGGUCGAGCAGGAAGGCCACUCACAACUCCGCCGGCGCCGCCGCUUCCAAACUCGGGCAUCGCCGCACGGGCUUCGUCCCGAUCAUCCCCACCGCGGCCUCCACGACGAGCACGGCACCGCGCGGCGCCGCUGAGGCCCGGCGAAACCCGGCGCGGCGCCGCUGAGGCCCGUCGCGCGGAGCGACGUGCUCGCCUCCGGCACUGCGAAUUACGGCCACGGGAGCAUAAUGCGGGGCGGGGAGGCGGCGGCAGCAAUGGCGGAGGGGUAUUUUCGGCAUAAAAAAUUAUUUUAUAACGGAACCCUAACGGUAGGGGGUGAAGUGCACAUUUUUCAUUUUACAGGGGGGCAAAGUGUAGGUUUUUAAAUGUCAGGGGGGGAAAGUGAAAAAGCGGGUUAUUAUAGGGGGGUUUUCUGUAAUUUAGCCUAUACAAAAUUUACCCUAAAAAACAUUGUUCAUAGUUUCCUAACAUCAAGACCCCUUAAGAACCAGCACUUAUGAACCCUCAAUUUUUUGUAAGCAAUUAUAACCUAGAUGAUAAAUUUGAUAAUAAAUUAUGAUUAGAAUAAUAAUUAGCACUUUUGUAUUUUGUGCUUUGUGGAGUAGUACCCUGCAUGUAGCGAAAACCAUGAGUGACAAAUUUGAUUCAUAGGCCAAUGCCUUUUCCUUUUUUGGCUUUGAGUAGUUGUCUACUUAUCUGGGAGACUGGGACCCUCUCUAUUUUGUUUAUUAGAUUAAGAUCCAAUGAAAAUGGAUCCUGAUUGGUAGAUUGGAUCCUGAUUGGUAGAGCUUUCUUCUUUUGCCGUCGCUGAUUGGACAGAUUGGACAGGAAGAUGAAGACAAUAAUUAGUUUCAAUACAAUCGAUUUGUUUGUCGUCAAGUAAUUUUCAAGUUGAAAAUAAUUUUUAAUUAAGCUAAAAUUUGUGGAAUUGUUUUUGUGCUUCGAAAAGCACAAGAGCUCGAUAUGCUUAUAAUUUUUUAGCCAACGAAUUAUAUUAAUAAAACACGCUAUGAAUAACGCUACACGAAUUUUGAAGCGAUUUUAGGGCUAAAAAGUAAAAAAUACAAAUGCUGCUCAGCUUUUAAAAGCGCAGAGGAACUUAAUUCAUAUUUGAGUUUUUUUUUUUUUUCAAUUAUUGUUCUUUGAGAGUAAGUCAAAUGGUUUUAGAAUUAUUAUUAUCUCACUUUUUUAUUUAUUUUAUUAAAAAAAUUCACACUAGCAUAUUAAAGAAUGAAAAAAAUUACAAUAGUUAAUUUUUUGUUAUUUUUUAUCUCUUUUUUUAUCCUUAAUUGAUUUUGAUACCACUUUGAGCAAAGUCAAAUUCGUCCUUCUAGAAAAUUGUGGUUACAAACAAAUUUAAUCUACGGUGAUCCAAACAACUAAAUAAAUAGUUAUGAUUGAAAAUAAUUUUAUUCACUUUCAAUUUUGGCAAAACAAAGAUACCCUAAUAAGGAUAUGUUUGAUUGCAUGUAUUUCUAACCGCAUAGCAGUUGAAAAUGCAUAUAUUUAUUAAAUUUUUAUUUUGUUUGGUGCAGUUAUGCUCAACUGCUACAGUUGCAUCUACACAAGAAGGUCCAACUACUGCAGUUGGACCAGAGUCGACUCACCCAUUAAAAAAAAAAAAAUAAAGUGUGAUUUUUUUUUUUCAUACGCUCCUUUUUUUUUUUUCACAAAAUACUUAUUCAUAUGCUCUUUUUUUUUUCAAUCUGCUAGUUUAAUAAUAUCCUAAUUUUUGUUUUGACCAAAUCUAUAAUAUAUUUGCAUUUAAAAUUUAUUAAAUUCAUACAUAAUUUUAUAAUAUAUAAAUUAUAUUUAGACAUAAAAAUCUUAAUUAAUAAUCAAAAUAUAAUUAUCUUAUGCUCAAAAGAGAUAAUCUCAUCUUUCUAUCUAAAAAUUAACAGAAUUUAUAAAUACAAAUCUCAACUGCAGAUUAACAAACAGAAGAAAUGUAACUGCAGCAGUUGAAACUGUAUAAAACUAGACAAACUGGGUGUAAUUAUGACUGUAGCAUUUACAACUGUAUGUACUUUUAAUUGCACUGUUUUUGUAACUACAUCCCACCUAACGGCCCAUAAAUGAAGCAGAGUUUAAGAUUCAUGGUUUGGAGCUGGAAAGAGAGAAAAAAAAAAUUUAUCUGCCCUAAAUGCACCCAGUUGAGAUCUUUGGAAAAACCAUCUUGCAUAGCUACAAACUAAACCCUAGUAAUCAUACGUUUACAAAAUUAGAUACAUACCGACCAUCUGUAGAGCAAGUGGCAAAGGGCUUGAUAGUUGGUACCCGAGACCCAAGUUUGAAUCCUAGUUGAUUUAUAUUUUCUAGCUAAGUUUAUUUCUAAAUGAAAUAAACGAAGCGGAUAGCGUGCUACCUAUCUCUCAAAAAAAAAUAAAAUCAGAUAAAUGUAUAAAUAUCUCACUCCACCUGAAGGGCUGUGACUGAUUUCUCAAAAAAGUGUGAAAAAAAAAUUCAUGAAAAACUCUUUUUUUUAAUUUUUCGUCCGUUUAGUUUGAAAGAAGUAUUUUUUAUUUUUUUCCAUAUUUUAUAAAAAACUAGAUUUUUGUUUUUCCAAAUUAUUUGUUAGACCAACGCAAAUACAAGUUUUCUAUAAAAUAUGAAAAGAAGUUUUUAUAUAAAAACUUCUUGAAACCAAAUAUACGAAAAACUGAAAAAUUAAAUUUUUAUAAAUUUCUUAAAAAAUUUUACACUUUUUUGAAAAACCAAACGGUCCCUCGUUACCUGUUCUUAUUAGGGGUAAGCCCAUAGCCUCAAAAUUACUUUACUUAUUACCUACUACAAAUUAAUUGGACUUGCUAUUUUUAUUUGCCUAGCACUAGCAAUAUCUAAUAAGUUAUUCUAAAAUUAUUUGAAUGAGAAAGUGCUAUAAUCUUUCGAGAAAAAACAAAGGAAAAACCAUUUUAAUUAACAUUUAUAAUACAAUACUAAGGAGUGCGGCUAGGAUGCUUAUGGAAGCACGGAGGGUUCCGUGCUUCCACUUUGUUUUCGAUGUUCGGACAUUCGAAUCGACGAUCAGCUCCGUUAGACUUGAUCUAGAGUAUUUGAAGCAUCUAAAAAAUAAAUUUUGCGAUUUUUCGAUAUCAUUUGCCUAGUGAUCGAAGUGGCUUAAAAUCAAUGGCUGAAAAUAAGAAUCUUACAAAAUAUGAUGAUAUGACAUUAAAAUUUUAGAUCAAAGUUAUUGAUCUUGUUUUAUAUGGUAUAAAGAAUUUUCUAUCAAAAUUUCAUGUUAUUUGGAUAUUUCUACACCGUUAAACUUGCAGCCGGUUCACCACGGUCGUUAAAAUUAUUGAUUUUGAGCCCCUUCAAUCACUAGGCAAAUAAUAUCGAAAAAUCGCAAAAUUUAUUUUCUAGGUACUUCAAAUACUCUAGAUCAACUCUAACGGAGCCGAUCGUCGAUUCGAAAGUCCGAACAUCGAAAACAGAGUGAAAGCACGAAGGGCUCCGUGCUACCAUAAGCAUACCAGCCCACUCAAAUACUAAGUAGAUUAUUGAUUAAAGAAAAUGAGAAAAGGAUU